GUGGGGAAUAUUGGACAAUGGGGGGAACCCUGAUCCAGCCAUGCCGCGUGUGUGAAGAAGGCCUUUUGGUUGUAAAGCACUUUAAGCGAGGAGGAGGCUACCGAGAUUAAUACUCUUGGAUAGUGGACGUUACUCGCAGAAUAAGCACCGGCUAACUCUGUGCCAGCAGCCGCGGUAAUACAGAGGGUGCAAGCGUUAAUCGGAUUUACUGGGCGUAAAGCGCGCGUAGGUGGCCAAUUAAGUCAAAUGUGAAAUCCCCGAGCUUAACUUGGGAAGUGCAUUCGAGACUGGUUGGCUAGAGUAUGGGAGAGGAUGGUAGAAUUCCAGGUGUAGCGGUGAAAUGCGUAGAGAUCUGGAGGAAUACCGAUGGCGAAGGCAGCCAUCUGGCCUAAUACUGACACUGAGGUGCGAAAGCAUGGGGAGCAAACAGGAUUAGAAACCCCGGUAGUCC
rnacentral:rRNA from 1 species